rnacentral:lncRNA from 1 species
AAGGCAAAGUGUGUCAUCGAUGUGGCAUCAAAGGACACAUCAAAAGGAAUUGCCCGAACAAAAAUAGCAAGUCACAAUCGGCAACUUCAAAACAUCCAUCGGCUUCAUCUACAACUCGACUUCCCCCGCGGAAUCAAAAGAAAAAUCAAAUUAGUCGAGUACCUCAAAAGAACCGGUUUUCUAGCGCACAACGUCAACGUCAAGUUUAUACAAACCGGAUGUCUAAUCCUCAACGACAAAUUCAACCGAAGCCUCAACCGAAGAAACCACCAACGGUUGAUAAAAAAUCUAAACAAACGACACCUAACGUCGACAACUCGA